AGGGCCCAGCGCUUCCCGGCUGGUGAAGGAGAAUGACGCACCGGGACGGGUCUUGGGUGCUGUGCCCCCUCCCACAUCCAGUGCCCUACGCAUCAGUUCCAGCGGGCUCUCCCUGAGUUACACCUUUUUUCCAAUAAACAGGCAAACUGACGGCAACACGAGCCGAGGGCAGACGGUGCCAGCACACAAACUGGGAGCCGCAAGCUGGUCGUCGGGCUGGCCUUCCUCGCUGCUGGACACGCAGCUGUCCUGUAGGUGGCUCCCGCGUCAGAACUUGCUCCUGUACCAACAGACGGAGGCACAGAGGUGGCGUCCUCCUCCCGGCUCAGAGACUCUCUGAGGAGCAGAGGAAAUGAAGUCUAGCGAAGGAGAUCCAAGAUUAAGAAAAUGAGAGCUUCUGCUCUACUCUGACACCAAGGGCUUCUCAAUGCGGGGG